GCUGCGUGCUGCUCAGAGGAGGUUACGGCUGUACGUGACCUUAGGUCAGAGGUUCCAUGUAACCUGACUCUGUUCCGUCCUGAUUACCUGAACCAGGUGAAUUCUGUCAAUCAAACCUACGAUCACCUGAAUCCAAGCUGAUCUGCCUUCAUGCAUCACUUUAUCUCCGCUGGUCGGAUGAGGAGUUUUCUCUGCUGACCUUCAUCCUCGAGUCCUCCAGAUUUACAAAUGGAACUCUGUUUUUAGAGGUUUUGGUGGUUUUAGAGGAAAACCUUUAAAAAAACGGAUCAUUUUUUCAUCAGAGACAGAUGCUCAUCAGUGUUUUCGCUUCAGUCCUGAAGCCUUCGGGAUGUUUUGGUUUGGACUGAAACGUCGCUGACUCAUCAUCUCCACUCGGAGAUCUGAGAGAUUCCCGUCUUGUUUGUGAGUCUGCAGGAUUCGGGCGUCUGGCCUCGUGGUGCCCUGCAGUGACAGCGCCGUCAGACCUACACGCCCGUUACGAGCGAGCACGCCGAGACUUGUAGCCGUUCGACAAAAGCAAAAACAACCGCCGCGUAUCUGAAAGAGGACAAAUGAUGCAUGCGCCGCUCAGCAGGGCUCCUUACAGCAGGAAUGCAGCCUUUGUUGAGGAGAAACCGCCACCACCUGAAGGAUAAGCUCUGACGAACACACGCCGAAUCCCACUUCUGACACCAAGACUGGAGGAAGGGAAACUUUCAACCUCUGAGGAUCCAGAAACCAAAAUCUGAAGGAUCUUUUCAUAAAAUAAUUCAGUGUACACUAAAAAAGUGAAAGACUGGAUAAAUUAACAAAAGCUCUGUAAUUUGUUACAUUUAAAUUGAUUCAUCAAAUUGAAAAUUUGAGUUGGUUUGAUCAGAUUAAUCAUUUAGUUUGAUAAAAACUGAUAUUUUUAUGUAAAUCUUUUAUUAAUCGAUCUUUCACUUUCACUGUGAAGAUUAGCAUCAUCACGUUUGCACUAUAAAUGUGUUUUCUGAAUUGUUACGGCUGAAGUGGUCAUUUUAUUUUAUGUUUUUUACUUUUAAAUUUUCAGUCAGAGUGAGAGGUCUUUUAUUCUUCUAUCUUUGUUUACAGAUUUUUCCUUAAUUGUCCGGAGCUCCUGAUUGGAUCUGCAUGGCAGCGUUAUAAUUCUGAUCCCUCCUCUGUUUCUACACGCUUUGCUCUGUAAAUUAAUCCCAGAUUACUUUAAUCUUUGGGUCAUUACUGUGUUUUAUUUGUCCGUUUUUAUAUUACCGUAUGUCCUUUAACAACCCUGAACCUCUGGUGACACAUGUGACUCUUUGACCCUUCCACUGAAACUCUGCCAUUAAAGAAAAAUAAAAUGAUGGUCUCCAUAAGUGUGAAAACUGACAUUAUAUACAUUUAUGGCUGAGUACUCCUAGAAGAGGGUCUGCAACCUUUUAUGCUAAAAGAGACGUUUGGUCCAGUGAGAGCCACAAAGACGGCAGUUUACCAUUUAAAAUAUACAAAUUAUGUUUUUGUGACCCUUAACCAUUUAACUACCCAAAAAAAA